UAGCUCAGUCGGUGAAGAAUCUGCCUACAAUGCAGGAGACCCAGGUUCGAUUCCUGG
rnacentral:tRNA from 1 species